GAGUAGAGCCGGCCUAGGGGCGGAAAGUUUGUAAAUCCGGGCCUGGGGCAGACGCAUGUGCACUAGAACGAAAUAGCUGGCUAUUCAGAUUUUCUCUCUAUUUUUAAUGCACAGCCACAAGAAGAAAGAAGAAGCAGGAAGAAGAUCGCUCCGUGGUGCUCGCUGGAAGAACCCCAGUGCUGGAAAGAAGCGUUGUUAUAAACCAAAUGAGUUUUGGCCAAACCAAUUCUACCGACAUGGAAAGUGAAAUAUCAGGAAAGAAUACAGCACUGUUAGUCAUGCCUGCGCUGGACCAAGAUACAAAUGACAAACGACAUGUUUAUUGUGAAAUUGAAAUAACUUCUACUCCACUUGCACACAAGAAACCAACAUCAUCUCCAAAAUCUAAACCUGCCAUGCCUCCCACAAUCCCACCACCACCACAAUAUGAUUCUUUAGUACAUUCAAAGGUUUAGAAAUCUACUUAUCAGUGUUCAACCUCAGAGCAGACAUCUACUCCACAACCCAGACUUCUUCAUGUUAAAAUUGCCAAACUACAGGCACCACACUCUGAUGCCUUAUUCCACUGUUAUGAAAAUGAAUACCCUUUUUGAGUGAAAAGCUCAGGUCCAUAAAUAAAAAUUCCUCAGCUCGUCACAACCCCUUUGGCAUUCACAGAUCUGAUUGGUUGUGAUCUUAUGACAAGUGAAAAUGUUGCUGUUUUUAUUACAGUAUCACACAUUUUGCUCCGUCUAUUAUACCUAGUAAAUUAUUUUGUACCAAGAUAAUCCCUGGAAGCCAAUGUAGCAUGUGGGUAGUGCUUGAAGGCUGCCCAAGAAGAUAGUUUUGUAUGGUGUCUGUUUUUUACAAAUGGUUCCAUUUUGAAUGGCAUUAUGGCUUCCUCUAUAAUAGCUCCUGCUUGCCUUGUAGUUUUAUUCCAGUUUUAUUCCAGUUUUUGUGAGUCCACUUGGACAUGCAAGUCAAUGGGUAGUUUGGCACAGUACAUUUGAGCUACUUAAAAAUGCUUAAAAAGCACAUCAAAUCACCCUAUAUGAUAUUGCUCUUAUGAGAUUCAUAUUGUAAUGCAUAUCAUUACCAGUGCUUUUAAUUGCAUUAUUCCUUUUAUUGCAUUUGCUGUAAGGGCAAUGGUAGAUUUAGUGGUUUGUUAACAAACUAGGAAGGCAUUUUCCCAUGAUAAAGUCAGAUCACCAUAUGUAAAGAAAGACAAUCCAUAUUCUUCUGCAUUACAAUGUAUUUUUUUUAACACUUUGUAACCUAUGGGAGAAGUAAUCUUCUGGUUGUGUAAAGGCUCAAAAGCAACACUAAAACAGGUUAACUCCAAUGGCCUUU